GGAAGUAAAAUCGCAACAAGGUUUCCGUAGGUGAACCUGCGGAAGGAUCAUUAUCGUACAAAAUGUGAGGGGCAUGCGAGGGCUGUCGCUGACCCAAAAGUCGUGCACGCCCGAGUGUGUCCUCUUGCAUAAUAAUCCAUCUCACCCUUUGUGCAUCACCGCGUGGGCACCCUUCGGGAUCAUCUCGGAGGGGGGCUCGCGUUUUCACACAAACCCCCCUUUUAAAAGUGUAGAAUGACCACAUUUAUGCAAUCAAUACAACUUUCAACAACGGAUCUCUUGGCUCUC
rnacentral:misc_RNA from 1 species